UUUGAGUUAUAAAAUAAACCAAAAGUGACAUCCACGUUUUAAGGCGUGAAAUGUUGGCUGGCACUAAAACAAAGACAACUGAAAAUGGUUCCUUUGUCCUCUAAAACUAGGUAGUAGAAUUGCAUACCACUUUCUGUGUAACCAGUUUUUAGCCCAGUACCAUUGUAUCUACAACUUGAACUAGAGCUUAUUUGCCAGAUACAGUUCAAAAUGCUGUUCAGUUUUGUGUUCCAUCUCCAUUUGCCAUACCAGCAUCCUUAUCUAUACACCCAAAUUCAUGACUGAAGUGUUUUAGCUGAUUUCAUGUCAACUCCCUUAAUACGAAUCAACAAUAGGUCUACCUUUCCAAUUUAUCACUAUUCUCAAUCACAUCUUCCCUUGCUCUGGUUGAUUUGGUAAAUAACGGACCAUGCUUGUUUUUACUUUUGUGUGUUUGUAGACCUUUCUCCUUCCCUCCCCAUUAGUCACCCUGAAGCUUCCAAGUCCUGAUCAUCCUCUGUUAAACUUCAUUCCUGAAACUAUAAACUUCACAUUUCUUCUCUGUGAUGCAUUUAAUCUCACAAAUUUAUUUUAUUACUAUUGGAAGUUUUGUGGUUUUUUAGUACCCAGUGAGGUUUCUGUAGAAGUAUUUGUAUCUCCCAUUCAGCCAAAUGCAGUGCUGAAAGAACUUUUAUUCCUUAGAAGCAACACACUAUAGAAGUCUAUUUCACAAACUUGGGUUAACUGGUUGGAUUGAGAAAACUGUUGUGUUCUUAACACUGCAUCAAAUAAUGGCUCCUCAGAUGUGAAACUAGGAAAUUCAAAUUUAACUUCUAACCUAAUCCAAGUAACUUUUCCCAUUAUAAUGUUGCCCCAAGAUCAGUCUUACAAAGUCCAGAAGAAAGUUGUUUUUGUUUUUUUGGUAAGCUGUGCACACUCUGAGAAUAGAUCAUCAAGAAUUGAUGCUGUUGUCUCCCUAAGGGUAGAAUGGUUCCCUCCUGGUGCUUCUUCCUGUGUCUCCUUUUUAUAUCAUUCUUAGUCAUGAUUCUUAACAGAAGAAGCUUUAAAUUACUUCCAGACUUUGUGGUCAUACCUCAAUGAGAAUUCCUGCAGAUUUCCCUUUGGGGUUGGAUUCUUUUGGUGGUUAUUUAUCCAAAAAGGCAUUCAUAUGUGAAGAUUUAUAUAGAAUUUAGGAAAUGGAUAAUAUAUUUCCUUGGUUUGGGAGAAUCUUAACAUGACUUCGGGACCCUGCCCUGGUUAAUUGUCUCAAAGCCAAGAGACUCAAUAAACCUCUCCUUCACUACCAGCAUCCCCGUUCCUUUUGCCUCUCAUUCAACCACCCCUUCAUGAUCAGCUAAAGACUUAAGCAUUCUUGGACUAAUUAAUUGCACUAUAAUUCUGCUUUGCUUUUCUUCACAUUUAUAUAUUGUUGCAUAUGAUGUAUGCGCUUGCAUGUUGCUUUUAAUCUGUUGUAUAAUUGUUUUGUGUACAUAUAUUUCCCCUGGCUACAUAGUAAACUGAGCAAGCACUGUUAACUUUUUGACACUUCCAAGAUGCUCAUAUGCUAAUGCCUUAAUGUUUAUGAAUAAAUCUGUUCAUAAAAUCCUAUACAGGUGCACUGGAUGGCUUAAGUAGUAUGGUCCUCUAAAUCAGAUUGGGCUUAUUUCCAAAGUAGUGACUUCAAGGGUUCAUGCCCUUGCUACCUUUUUUAAAGGAAAAAUGCAAAGGCAUUAAAUACCUUAUUCUCAAUGAAAGUAGUAGUUAACUAUUCCAUUAAAUACUUUGAUUCAUUUUAAUCUUGGAGUGGUAUUAGCCUCAUUUUGCAGUUGAGAUAAUAGGCUGAAAGAUACUAAAAGUGACCGGCCCAGAACUUGAAUCUUGUGAAAAUUUGUUCAUUUUACUACCACAUUGCUUUUUUUUUUUUUUUUUUUUUUUAAAGCUAGCCUGCCUUUUUCUGUGGUGGUUUCUAGGGGCUUAAGUGAAAAUCACCUGUAAUAUCCACCUGACGCCACCAGGGUGUCCCAUGGUGCUGUCUUUGAUCCAUGUUUUAGUCUUAGUGGCUGUGGCCUAGAGCUCAGCAGCAGGAAGGUCAGGUGAUCCCUGACUUUCUAGUAUGCAGUGCAAAGCCAGCAUCAGAAAUGCCCUCGCCCUCUUUUAACUCCUACUAGUCAGGCUGGCCUCAGGGCACAACCAGGGCUUGGCUAGCCACUCCUAACUGGGGGCAGGCCACAAAGGACAGUAAGAUAGAAAAGACCCUGUGAAUGGGUAAUCCACAAACAUGCAUUUGUUCUAGUAGCUGAAUAUACACUUAACACAAAUUUGUAUUAGUGAAAGAGAUCCACUACAGAAAGAUUGAAUUGCUUUACUACUCGAGGUAGAUGAAUUUUAAAAGCCAAUGUAUGGCGACUUCAGUAAUAGUCUGCAUUACACUUAGCCCUGAGUAUGUAUACAACUUCUUAGGCAUCCGUGUUGAUAUUUAACAAUCCUUUAUGAUGAUCUUUGGUGUUAAAGCUAUAAUUUAUGUGAGAACUAAUGAGGUGAAGUCUAUUUAGUAGUAAAGAAAUCAAAUGCCUGCUUUAAAUUUUUUUUUCCUUCCAAUCCUUUUUAAGCACUUCAUACAAAUGUCUGUGAUUCUUUUCAAGUUUUAAUUUCUCUACUGGGAGGAGCUCCAUAAAAGUAUGCCCAGUGGCUAGUACAGUUCCAGACAUUUAAUAGGUGCUCAAUUAAUACUUAUAUAUUGAAAUAGCAAAACUUCCAUAAUAGCUAUGGGAUGGUUAUACAUGAGCCAUUUCUGUAAGGAGAGAGUUAGUGAGCACUUUGAUUUGUCUUUAAGCUGAUUACAACCCUUUAUGAAGUGGGAAAGUAGUCCCUGAGAGGUCCUGGACUGCCUUGCAAAAUAUGAAUGAAAUAAGUCAUUCUGGGUAGAAAUUAGCACAGCCUGAAUUUGACCUUAACCAUGCAAUAUCUCUAAGAUUAGGUGUUCACCAGGGCUCUUAGAGCUACAGGGAUAGGCUUACUAAGUUAAACAUUACUGAUGGCAGAUGUUGGGUUGGUAGUGCCCUUUUCCCUUAACUGCUGCCUGUCUUCCCAGUGUGCCCCCAUCCCCAAAUUCUUGUGGUUUUAAGGAAAUAACUGGAAUAAAUCCUAAACCUAUCUGUAGUAGUCCAGCACCCUUUUCAGUUUUCUCAUGUCUUUGGUGAGAGGCUAAUCACAGAUUACUGUACCAAUUUGGACCCUUCUGUCUGCUUUGCCUAAGUGAUCAGAAUAACUGAGCUAAAUUAACAUAUCAAACAUAUGGGGGCUUCCUCAAGCUUCAUGAGUUUUUCUGAGUGUACUGUGUAGGGGACUGGAUGAAUAAUUGGGAAUAAAAGUUACUAGUUCCAGUGUUCCUGAGAAGCAUCACUAAAGGAUUUUUUUCAUCCCUUAAUUAUAAUUCUAUAAAUGCAUUAAUAGAUUGUUCUGAAGAUGCACUUCCAUAUAUGAAGAGUAAGUAUAUUGCCUUUCCUAUCUAAAGUGCAAACUACUAAAAGGCAGAAAUGUGUAUCCUAACCCCCAGAAUGCCUGUUUCUGGGAUUACUUUAUACCUACCUGAUGCUCCCAGAAACUUUUCCACCGGCUUAGAUUGACUAUUUGUGAUUAAGUGUUGAAUGAAAGGUGAGAGAAAGUGAAAGGAGAGGUGGGGCAGGCAGAGUAAGCUGGAAAAACGACGAAAUAGCUGGGAGCUGAAGGGGGGUGGGAGGUACUUAUGUAAGGUCAGUAAAACAAAAAGAAGAGGACAGGGUCAGGCCUUGGGGCUAGAGAGCUAAUUCUGUCAACUAGUAGAGAUUUGUAUGCUUUGUUGAAAAGAUAACUUCAGGAGAAAAAUCUAGAUUCUCCCAUCUUCCCUGUUUACCAGAGUAAAUUGUUCAUCAAGUCAACCUACACUGUCUUCUAGGGAUUCUGGUCCUCUUCAGUUCUAGCAAAGAGCCUGUUGUCUCUGCUCAGGCAAUCAAGGAUACAAUGUUUCGAGUAGUAUUUGUGGAUAGCUGUAAGCUUGAUGUUUUAUUCACAGCUUAAGGAGCAACUGUGGAGUACAGCUGUUGUCCCUAUGUUGAGCUUUAACAGCUUGCCAGGUUCCUGCACCUGCUUGUAGGCCUGGACCCAAUGACUGAGCUUUAGGCAGUGUCUAGUUCAGGGACUGCUCAGGGUCAAGAAACAUCUUUAAAGGAGUGAAUUCCCUCCUUAGCCAGAUGUUAUGCUGUCGUGGCCUUGUGUUGCCAUCUCUUGGCUUACUUUCUAGAGUGGAGCAGCCUUCCUAAAGCUUAGUCUAGCUAGUCUUGUGAUGCCGCUUCAGUGUCUUAGGUCACUACUGCUCACUUCCCUCAUGCAGGGAACAUAAUACAUCAGUUCCUCAACACCUGUUUCAUUAUUCCCUGUUCCCUUUUUUACCAGGAAUGGAGGGAUCUACAGCAGAACAUCAGAUUGACCCGAUGAGGCUUUUUCUUAAUUCUAGGUCCAUGAAAGGGAGAGGAAGGACUACGGACUCAGAAAGAGGGAACCAUAAGAUCCGCCUGUAUUAAUUAAUAUGCUAACUCUUUGGAGAUUUCUGAGAAACAAUCCUUCCUGAAUUCUGGACUACUAAAUCUGGUGUGAAGAAAUUAUCAAUGAGGCUGAUCUGUCCCUUGAUGUGCUACCUGCUUCUGCUACCGACCCAUACUGCAGACUUCUCAUUCAUCCCCAAGGCCUCCAAGCAAUGUCCAAUAGGGAAUCGACUCUAAAAGGAACCAGACCAGACCAGACCAGACCAAAAAGUAGCUACCUCUCUGAGGAGAGGAUAGCAAACGUUCAGGACAUCAUCCUACAAAGUUCCAGCAGCAGUGACGCCUACACGGAAGACUUGGAACUGCAAACAGAGGCUGGGGUCACCUCAGUGACAUCUGACGCCGUCCAACCACAAGUUCGAUUUUUGUUCUGUGGGGCGAGAAAGACUGUACUAAAAGACAAAAAUAAUUUCUUAUCUAUA